AGCGAGUGAAGCUGGAGAAAAGCUCAAAUUUAAAAUCUGGCAGGCUUUUGUCGUCCGAGUUGUAUUCUAGAGAAGCGUUUUCCGCGUUGGACCGUGUACAAGUCUCUUGGAACAGAGCGUCAUAGAGGGUGAGAAUCCCGUCUUUGACACGGACUACCAGUGCUUUGUGAUGCGCUCUCAAAGAGUCGAGUUGUUUGGGAAUGCAGCUCAAAAUGGGUGGUAAAUUCCAUCUAAAGCUAAAUAUUGGCGAGAGACCGAUAGCGAACAAGUACCGUGAGGGAAAGAUGAAAAGCACUUUGGAAAGAGAGUUAAACAGUACGUGAAAUUGCUGAAAGGGAAACGCUUGAAGUCAGUCGCGUUAGCUACAACUCAGCCAGGCUUGCUUGGUGCACUUUGUAGUUGACGGGCCAGCAUCAGUUUUGACCGCAGGAAAAAGGCCAGGGAAAUGUGGCACCUUCGGGUGUGUUAUAGUCCUUGGUUGUAUACUGUGAUUGGGACUGAGGCUCUCAGCACGCUUUUGUUGUGCUUAGGAUGCUGGCGUAAUGGCUUUAAACGACCCGUCUUGAAACACGGACCAAGGAGUCUAACAAACCUGCGAGUGUUUGGGUGGUAAACCCGAGCGCGUAAUGAAAGUGAAAGUUGGGAUCUCUGUCGCGGAGAGCACCGACGCCCGGACCAGACCUUCUGUGACGGAUCUGCGGUAGAGCAUGUUUGUUGGGACCCGAAAGAUGGUGAACUAUGCCUGAAUAGGGUGAAGCCAGAGGAAACUCUGGUGGAGGCUCGUAGCGAUUCUGACGUGCAAAUCGAUCGUCAAAUUUGGGUAUA
rnacentral:rRNA from 1 species